rnacentral:lncRNA from 1 species
CAAUUUCCGGCACCAAUGGAUCAUCGGGGUUUGGGUCGGGUCCGUCAGAAGUGAACUAAUGGAUAGCAGCACCUGCAGAACAUUGUGCAACAUGUAUCUAUAAGAUCAACAGAAAAGUUUACCCCAUCAAAGCACCAAGUAGAAUAAAUUGUGGAAUCAUACUUAUUUUACUAAGUUAUAGCCACCCUACAUAAACAAUGCGGAACCAGAUAUAGUAAAUUAUAUUACUCAAAGAUCUCCUUCAGAAUGUGAUAGAAUGCAUCCUUACGGCUGGCUGCCUUCUCCAUUCUAAACAGUAUGAAAGCAUUAUUACCUCAGUUGGUCUUUAAUUGAUACCGCAGUCAACCUCAUCCUACUACGCAAGUAGGAUAGAACUGUCCGUGGCUUAACAACACAUGUUCAUGGUUGAAAUCAAGCUUAGAUGCAAUCUGUUCUAAUUAGUCAAUACAUUUCUAUGUCAUAUCUACAAAUGCACACCGAUAUGCUAUGCAUAGGUCAUAUUAUGAAUAAACAAAAACAUUUUAUAAUGCAUGUAGAAGUCCAUAGCUACCAUGUCUUCACCAUUGAAUUAGUU